AUUGAACGCUGGCGGCAGGCCUAACACAUGCAAGUCGAACGAGUGGCGGACGGGUGAGUAAUGUCUGGGAAACUGCCUGAUGGAGGGGGAUAACUACUGGAAACGGUAGCUAAUACCGCAUACCAUCGGAUGUGCCCAGAUGGGAUUAGCUAGUAGGUGGGGUAAAGGCUCACCUCGGCGACGAUCCCUAGCUGGUCGGAGAGGAUGACCGGCCAAACGGGAACGGAGAAACGGUCCAGACGCGUACGGGAGGCAGCAGUGGGAAAUAUGGCACAAUGGGGGCAAGCCUGAUGCAGCCAUGCCGCGUGGAUGAAGAAGGCAUUCGGGUUGUAAAGUACUUUCAGCGGGGCGGCGUUACCCGCAGAGGAAGCACCGGCUAACUCCGUGCCAGCAGCCGCGGUAAUUC
rnacentral:rRNA from 1 species